rnacentral:rRNA from 1 species
UUUUUUAAUUGAAAACUUGUAUGAAUGGUUGAAUGAGAUAUAUGCUGUUUCAUAAAAAUUUGAUUAAAACUUUAUAUUUUAGUUAAAAAGCUAAAAUUAACUUAAAAGACGAGAAGACCCUAUAAAGUUUGAUAAUAAAAAUAUAUUUAUUUAUGUAAUAAUUUUAAAAUUUUUAUAUAAUUAUUAUUUUAUUGGGGAGAUAAUAAAAUUUAAAAAACUUUUAUUUUUUUAAACAUUGAUAUAUGAUUAUAUGAUCCUUUAUUAAAGAUUAAAAAUUUAAAUUACUUUAGGGAUAACAGCGUAAUUUUUUUUUUAAGUUCAUAUUUAUAAAAAAGUUUGC